UACGGAGGAUGCAAGCGUUAUCCGGAAUGAUUGGGCGUAAAGCGUCCGCAGGUGGCUGUGUAAGUCUGCUGUCAAAGAGCGAAGCUCAACUUCGUAAAGGCAGUGGAAACUACACGGCUAGAGUGCGUUCGGGGCAGAGGGAAUUCCUGGUGUAGCGGUGAAAUGCGUAGAGAUCAGGAAGAACACCAGUGGCGAAGGCGACUACCUGGCCUGUUCUUGACGCUGAGGCGCGAAAGCUAGGGGAGCAAACGGG
rnacentral:rRNA from 1 species